rnacentral:rRNA from 1 species
UUGAUCUCAAAUCAGGUAGGACUACCCGCUGAACUUAAGCAUAUCAAUAAGCGGAGGAAAAGAAACUAACAAGGAUUCCCCUAGUAACUGCGAGUGAAGCGGGAAGAGCUCAAAUUUAAAAUCUGGCGUGCCUCUGGUCGUCCGAGUUGUAGUCUGGAGAAGCGUUUUCCGUGUUGGACCGUGUACAAGUCUCUUGGAACAGGGCGUCAUAGAGGGUGAGAAUCCCGUCUUUGACACGGACUACCAAUGCUUUGUGAUGCGCUCUCAAAGAGUCGAGUUGUUUGGGAAUGCAGCUCAAAAUGGGUGGUAAAUUCCAUCUAAAGCUAAAUAUAGGCGAGAGACCGAUAGCGAACAAGUACCGUGAGGGAAAGAUGAAAAGCACUUUGGAAAGAGAGUUAAACAGUACGUGAAAUUGCUGAAAGGGAAACGCUUGAAGUCAGUCACGUCUGCCAGGACUCAGCCUUGCUUCUGCUUGGUGUACUUUCUGGUUUGACGGGCCAACAUCAAUUUUGACCGUUGGAGAAAGGCUUUGGGAAUGUGGCACCCUCGGGUGUGUUAUAGCCCUUUGUCGUAUACAACGGUUGGGAUUGAGGAUCGCAGCACGCCUUCAUGGCCGGGGUUCGCCCACGUACGUGCUUAGGA